GAUGAACGCUGGCGGCGUGCCUAAUACAUGCCAGUCGAGCGAACAGAUGAGGAGCUUGCUCCUCUGACGUUAGCGGCGGACGGGUGAGUAACACGUGGAUAACCUACCUAUAAGACUGGGAUAACUUCGGGAAACCGGCGCUAAUACCGGAUAAUAUAUUGAACCGCAUGGUUCAAUAGUGAAAGACGGUUUUGCUGUCACUUAUAGCUGGUUCUGGGCCGCAUUAGCUAGUUGGUAAGGUAACGGCUUACCAAGGCAACGAUGCGUAGCCGACCUGAGAGACGGAUAGGCGACCUGAGAGGGUGACCGGGGUCAAUGGUACUGCGGGACGGAGCAGAAGGGAAUGUUACGCAGUGGGCGAGAGCCUGGCGGAGCAAGCGGGCGUGAGUGAUGAAGGUCUUCGGAGCGUGAAAAUCUGUUAUUAGGGAAAAACAGAUGUGUAAGUAACUAUGCACUUCUUGACGGUAACUAAUAAGAAAGCCACGGCUAACUACGUG
rnacentral:rRNA from 1 species